ACACUACUGCUUUUAGGUUAUUUUCCUUAUCCAAGAAACAUGUACACAUGUACUACUGCUACAGAAGCACCUGGCAGUAAAAACAUAAGCACAUUUAAGGGCACAUUUUUGUAUGAAUAUUUUUUUAUGUCAAGAGCAUAGCCUCAAAAAGCUCCUUCAUGUUUAAAAAUGUGACUACUUUAAAUGAAUCACAAAAGUUAGUGCUUGCUGCACUGGCUUCUCAAGCUGUUAUUUUAUGCCUUAAGCCAAAUUUAAAAGAAGCAACACCAGAGUGUAACAUCAGCUUGUCUUCACUUACUGCCUUGCUUCAUUUGCAUUCUUUCAACAAGGAGCUGAGAAAUGUUAAACAACCUGAAGAAUAUUUCUAACUUGUAACAGCAAUUUUGCUAUGAAUUAUCUUCUGAUUAGUUGCAUAACAAAAAGAUUUCUUUAUCUUUAAAGUAUUUUAGGCACAGAUAAAUGUAAACAUUUUAAAAAUACUACAUCAUACUUCUAAACACAAAAAUACUACUACACUCAUUAUUUUUCAGUCCAAAAGUAUAUUUCUAAAAAGUCCAGAAAUGCUGCACUUGGUAAUUGGUCCACUUGCUUUUCAUUAAAGAUCUUUAAGGUAAAACAUCAAGGUAGAAAAAUUAUAAUUAAAUAUAUAGAAAGAAAUACAUAUGACAUGAGUCAUUCACCUUUGUGUAUGUGUGUGUGUGUGUGUGUGCACAUGUGUGUGUGUGUACACGUGACUGAGAGAAUAUAAUACUCUUCUAAAACAUAAUUUAGAUAUAUCAGGCUUCAGGUAAAAGUAAGCAAAUAACAUGAUGACACUAACUGACUAACAUCUCAUUGUAGUCAGAGCCUCCCAGGAUGUCUGCAUCACUAGUGGGACAGAAGAGGGAGCCUGGAAGAACUAACACAUUGGUAUUACAGCUGGCUUGUUAAAGGUUUGCAAAUAUUGAUCGUUCCACAGUAUAGAGCUAUGUUUGCAGUAAUGGGGGAUAAGACCUGUGCCCUUGAUAACAGCAAAAGCAAAAGCCAGUCUCUUUGGUGCGGGUACAGUGCAAGCCUGGUUACACGCUGCAGCCAACUGGGUUGCCAGUUAUUAAGCUCUGCUGUAUGGCACUGUAGCAAGGUCCUUGGCUCCCUUACAGCAAAAGCCUUGGAAAACACUAGAUACAAACAGAAGAUGUCACCGAGAACACAGAAAACUGAAUCUCAAAAGAGGAUGAAAUGCGUGCUUACACAUACAACUCCUGUGGCUUUAAAGCAUGGUGCCCUCAGUCACCAAGUUUCAGAAACCACCCAGGUUCACCAACCUUUUCAUGUAAUUUUGCAUUUCUGGAAGGGUAGAGGUGAUGAAAGGUUAAAGCUCGGUUCUUCCUACCAAAUUCUUUAGCCGCUUCUAAUGCUUUUAACUAGUGUUCAUCACUAUUUCCACUCUCUUUCAGCUUCCCAGCUUUACCUUGUACUUUUAAUACUGAACUGUGCUCCCUAGAGAACCACCCAGAGUGAAGAAGCUCUUCUGUUAGAGUAUCAGCCUUUCCAUGUGAAUUCCUCAUGAAAAAUGCAGUUAGAAAUCUCUAGUAGGACUCCCACUGCAUUUCUACAUGUUGGUCAUUGGCAAAGAGAAGAGGGGAAGUGAAAAAGAGAGGAUAGAUGGAGAAUAAAGCUGACUGGGAUAUUUCAGAAAAAUGUUAAUGUUCUUCUGAAGGAAAAUACUGAUUCACAAGCAUCAAAAACUUUCAUCAAAUGGAAAUAAUUGGUUUUUGUCUUCCUUCACAGGAAUGUUGAGGAGUCUGUGAAGCAUUUUCAUCAUUUCAGGUGAAAAAGCCUUCUUAAUGAAGUGAGGCUCAACACAUUUUCAAAAAAGUAUGAAAUAGCUAAUACUAAAGCACAACAUUUGUCUAAGUCACAUUUUUUACAUUUGAUUUGGGAAACAGUGAAAGACACCUCCUCAUUGCAAUUUGGGAUGGAAUUUUUUAAAUCCCACAUUUUCACAAUGCAAAACCUGUUCUCCAUCAGCUCUGGCUGGCAAUCCCCACUUCUACACUAUGUCCCAAGAAGGCACUGCAAAGGAGCUGUAGGCAUUUUUGGGUAUGUCUACACUGCUAAAGAGAAGAAGAGCAGGAAGAGGCCUUGUGCACUGUACUGCUGAAUGCCAGGACUAAGCCUGGUUACAGUUCAGGGAACAGUUUGCUCCUGACUGCUCUUCUCUUUGGGAAGAAGGGCAUAAGAUGAAUGAAGUGGCCAGAGAUCUGUCUCUCUUCAUCCUACAACAUACACUACAGACACACAACUUUCAAACACCAUCAUACACUACUCAGUAGGUCAUAAAAUACCUAAGUUAUAGAUAUAAAAACAAACAAACAAACAACAACAAUAACAACAACAACAACAAACAAUUAAUAUUCUGGUGAUCUGCAACAGUUCUCCCUUUUUUUGGAUACCUGGGACCAAAAAUUCCCCACAGACUAUGUCAAAAGGCUAGAGGAUUAUCAUGCUAUAUCCAGAAGAGGCCCAUGGCCUGCCAGAAGGCAGAAAAGAUGGUCAGUCAACUGUGGUGCAAGUUAGCCAUCAGUGGUGUGGAAAGGGGAAAGCAUUAUUUCACCUUGACAUCAGGAGCUACUAUAUUCAACAGCAUGUUUGUACUUACUUACUUAUGUAUGUAUGUGUGUAUAAAAACUCUAGUUUAAUUGUAUGGAAGUAUCUUAAGGUGGGUCUGGAAUUUGUUGUAAUUGAUUUACUUGGUGACUCCAUUACUGGAAGGAGUUAAUUCUGUUACACACUUACCGUGUGCAUGGUUUCUAGAACGGUAUCUUUAUAAAAAGUAAUGGAAAGAUUUCUUCCAUUUUAAAAAUGAGCCAAAAACAAACAAACAAACAAACAAACAAACAAAAACAAACAGCAAUUUCCUGGAAUUUCAGCUUCAGCUUUACACUUCUACUCUUUGCAACUCCAGUGUUAAUUCAUUUUUCCUUUCUUGGUAAUUAAACAUGUUGUCCAUGCUAUUUAAUGGAAUUUUAGGGAAUGCAUUUACCUCUAUUAUCUACUUAACUGGAUUAUAAAAUGCAUCAUAAACAAAUUAAACUGAAUAAUCUAGUCUUAAUUAUUUAAUACAGUUCUGCAUUAUAUAAAUAUUACGUAGUGUAUUUUUAAUUUUAAUUAUAUGUGAGAUUUCACAGAAAAAAAACAACAUGCUAAGGACUUUUAAUAUGGCAAAUAAACAAGACUCAUAAGACAACUUUUUUUUUCUAAUAUACUUAGUAUAGAAAAACAUUAAUUAAAUGUAAACAUAAAAAUAUAGUAAUCUGACUGUAGUAUUCACAAUACUUCAGGACUGACUACUCGGGUUUGGAGUAACUAAAGCAACAAGAGCAGACCACCAGUUUGACAGCACCAAGAAGGAUGCCAGGACAGCCAGGCCUCCCUGCCCCACACACCUUCACAGAAUCACAAAAUGGCUGAGGUUGGAAGGGACCUCUGGAGAUCAUCUGGUCCAACCCCCCCGCUAAAGCAGGGUCCCUAGGACACAUUACUUAUGAUUGUGUCCAGACAGCUUUUGAAUAUCUCCAGUGAAGGAGACUCUAAAAAGUCUCUCUGCAACCUGUGCCAGUGCUUGGUCACCCUGACAGUAACAUAGUUUUUCUCAUGUUCAGCUGGAACGUCCUGUGUUUCAUUUUGUGCCCAUUGCCUCUUGUCCACUGAGGAGAGUCUGGCUCCAUCCUCUUGACACCUUCCCUUCAGAUACUUAUACACAUUGAUGAGAUUCACUCUGUGUCCUUUCUUCUACCAGGCUGAACAAGCCCAGCUCCAUCAUGUGAGAAAUGCUCCAGUCCCUUAAUAAUUUUAGUAGCCCUUUGCUGGACUGUCUCCAGUAGUUUUAUGUCCCUCUUGUACUGGGGAGCCCAGAACUGGACACAGGACUCCAGAUGUGGCCCCACGAGGGCUGAGUAGAGGAGGAGAAUCUCCCUCAACCUGCUGACAGUGCUCAUCCUAAUUCAGCCCAGGAUACCACAAAGGCCCAUUGCUGGCUCCUGGUUAACUAGUCCACCAGGACUCCCAGGUCCUUCUCUGCAGAGUAACUUUUUGGCAAGUCAUCCCCCAGCCUGUACUGGUGCAUGGGGUUAUUCCUCCCCAGGUGCAGGACCCUGCACUUGAAUUUCAAGAUGUUCCUCUCUGCCCAUCUCUCCAGCCUGUCUAGACCCUUCUGAAUGGCACCACACUCUGGGGUAUCAGCCACUCCUCCCAGUUUUGUAUCACAGCAAACUUUCUGAGGAGGCACUCUAUCCCUUCAUCUGAGUAAUUGAUGAAUAGGUUAACAACAUGGGACCCAGUACUGAGCCCUAGGGAACAUCAGUAGCUACAGGUCUCCAGCUAGACUCUGUGCCACUGAUCAUAGCCCUCUGAGACCUGCCAUCCAGCCAGUUCUCAGCCCACUUCACUGUCUACUCAUCCAGCCCACCCUUCCCAAGCUUGCCUAUAACAAUACGAUGGGAGACAGUACCAAAAGCCUUGCUGAAGUCACGGUAGACAACAUCCACUGCUCUCCCCUCAUCUAUCCAGCUAAUUGUCCUAUCAUAGAAGGCAAUCAGGUUGGUUAACCAUGAUUUCCCUUUGGUGUAUCAAUGCAGGCUACUCUUGAUCACUUUCUUGUCUACCAUAUGCUUAGAGAUAGCCUCCAGGAUGAGCUGUUCCAUCAUCUCUCUAGGGACUGAAGUGAGGCUGACUGGACUGUAGUUCCCUGGGUCCUCCUUCUUUUGAAGACUGGAGUGACAUCAGCUUUCUUCUAGUCCUCAGGCAUCUCUUCUGAUUGCCAUGACAAAGAUGAUCUAGAGUGGCUUAACAAUGAUGUCUGCCAGCUCCUUCAGCACUAAUGAGUUCUAAUUCCAAUUCCAAUUCUAUUUCUAAUUCCAAUUCCAAUUCUAAAAAUGAAUCAAAUAGAACAAGGGCAGACCUCAAAAGACAGAUCUAAAAGUAGAUUCUGGUUUCGACCUGGUUCUCUUAGGAGGCAAUAUUUGCAGUACAUGGAGGUGUGUGAUUUUGUGCCGUAAGAAUUGAUAUAUUUCUUGUAUUUCAGGGAAACCAAUAUUAUAAACUGCUCUACUUAAUUGCUUCCAGGUGUAUGUCAAUUACUACCCAAAAGGAUUUCAUUCCAUUAUUUACACACAAGCAAUUAAGCAUGUAAUCACGUUUCAUGCAGUUUACAUUCAAACUGUUCAAUAGAGCCUUACUCUCCAAAUACAAGGAAACAUUUUCCAGAUAUGUUUCCUUUUCAGUGGAACAAUCCUAGACAAACCACUUCCUUCUGCUAGUAACAGACUCAAAUCCAAUUGUUAGGAGUCAAAAAUCAGCAGCAAAUCAUAGCAGUCCUCCCUGGAAUACAAGCUGCUGUUUUCAGACUUUUUUUUUUCAGUUGAUGUCAUGCACCUAAUGGCAGUAUUCAGCAUACUUUUUUAGCAGGCUGGUCAUGCAAACCAGGUUACAGAGUCUACAAAAACAAAACUCACUUUCAAAAGUAAUACUACAGAAAACUAGCACAGACGUUUGUGAAAUUUAAUAACAAUGCUGGUUCUUUAUCACCAUUCUGAGGUUAUAUAGCACACCAGAAUUUCCAGGAAUGUUUGUCUGGCACAUUUCAUAUGUAUUAAAGUUAUAAUAGCAAUUUUAUAAAGGCUGCAGAGUCUCAUUAUUACCAAAAGACUCAUCAAAACAAAUAUAAUCAUAAUUCAAAGUUAAAUGACAUCAAUUUUUUUCAAAGAAUUUUUAAACCAUCACUUUCAUUUUUGUAUUUUGUCUGCAUGGAAAGUUGCACAAAAUAUGUUGCUGCAGGGCUGCACCUAACUAUAUUGGGCAUCCAGAAAUAGGUGUAUCUGACUCAGAAUUUCUGCAUGCUUUGCCAGCCAAUCAAACUAUGAGAUGCAAGCUAUGGUUAAAUUAAGCAAUAAGCUGCAAGUUGUGACUUAUCGGUAUACAACACACUGCAAGGAAGAAGAUCACAACAGGAAACUGUUUUAAAGUAGUAGUUGUCCUCAGCACAGCUAAGAAUAUCAUCACCACCGUGGCUUUGCACAGUUUGAGUCAGAGGACCAAGUGCUCUAAACUGAAUGUUACAGAGCAGGAUUAAACAUAAAAUUAUGGUUUCCAACUUAUACAGCACCUUUGGAAAUUUCAAGAAUACUAAGAUAAAGGAUCCUACUACUUCAUCGGUAUUUUGCUUGAGUAAGAGCUGCUGGAUGCAGACUGGAAUUAAUGGCUGGUACACAGCUUUAGGAUUUGGCUUGCCAUUUGUACCUCUUAAAGACUUCUCUAUCCAAAAGUGCUAAUGUUUGACUCAACAAACUGUGUCAUUAACUCAGCUAUAGUUUCAAGGAGAAAUUCCCUGGACAAGGAUAAGACUGCUCUGGAGCGACUGAAUUCCUUCCUGCAGAAAAAGUCUCUGAGGAUUAUAUUUCUCACCAAGCCAAAGGGUAUUCAGAGAUGGAAAUAUCAGAUGUCUCUCCUCAGGUCUUCUUCCAAGUGUGCCUGUACUCAUGACAGAGUGCAGAGAUUGGGCUGCACUCCUGCUUCGUCCCUUCCUGUCAAACUACCCACAGGAGCAGCCAAAAUGUGACCUAAUCUCCAGCCAAAUGUGGACUCAGGUGGGAAUAAAACAGCUGAGGCUCAUUCUCAGCAAAGAGGAGGGUGCUGAUGGCAUGAGGAUUGCUGUCCCCAGUAGAUGUUAAGUCUACAAGAGCCAUCAGCAAGAUCAGCAGCAGUCCAGAGGAGAUGCUACCUUCUACACCCUGCUGGGAAAAUUCAUCUUGCAGGUACAGAUCAUGCUAGAAGUGCCAGAGGAUGUGGACACCUGCUUGGGGAGGGGGGCAGCCCACAUGCAACUGCUCCCCAGCCAGGCACAUGGCAUGGCUCAUGUGUGUCACCUGCCUUUCUGGAAAUGCAAGAGACUAAGACAUACAGCAGGGCUACAUGCUGGUGCUCUGAAGAAAGGGUCUGCCUGUUGCACAGUGUAAUGUUUUGCUAUAGGAGUUUCAAGCAGUUUAUAUACAGUAUUCAAAUUGCACAGACUAGGGUUCAUCCAUUAUUCUAACUUGAUAUGAAAUCAAAUUAAUGAAUAAGCACCUUAUAAAGCAGAAAAAUGCUGAAAGCUAUUGUUUUAAGUCUAAAGACAAGCUUGGCCUCUGACUCUGAUAAUAAGUCAGAUACCUGUAUUUGCUUUAGCUACGAGAACACACAUACACACACACACACACAAAAUACACCAACAUUUACAAGGGAAAAACCACAACUGAAUGCAAUUUUCAUUACGUAGAAAAAUAUUACUGAUUAUUUUCUCAGGUCUGCACAAAGGGUCAAAACCUCAGUGGAAGAAAGAUGUAAAGAUCAAUAGAACUCUUUAUCUAUAUUUAAAUCUGAUAAAUUGAUUCACUUUGGUACUUCAGCUUCUCUCAACAGGAAGCAAAUAAGAAAAGGGAAAAUGUCAAUUAAAACAUGUUAAUAAUGUAAGAUAAGCCCACAUUUCUAAUUUAAUCGUUUCAAAAUUCAAUGUCAGUCAAGUACUGUUACAGUCAAGUAGAUAUUCAUAAAUUCUCCCUCACUUUGAAGAUUUUGUUCCCAUCUAGGUAAUGUCUUCUGCCUCUGUACACUUCCACAAGUGCUCUCAACAUAGCUCUCCCUACACAGUAUCUCCAAACAGCAAAAUCUCAUGUGGAGUGCCUGCAUAUACAAAAUAUAAUAGCUUCAACAUCUUUGGAAUAGGCCUUCAACCCUCCAUACAAAAAUUUCUCAAGUAUGUCUUCAGAAGGUUUAUAAACAUAUCUCUAAUUCAGAUGGUUUUCACCAUCAUCCCUGAUUGAAAGACAGAGCUUUUAUCAAUGCUCAGUUGAUGAUUUCUACUAACUACUACGUAAGUGCUAUUAACUACUAAUAAUGCCACUAAAAAUUACAUCUAAAAGCAUUUUCAGGAUGAAAAUCAAAAUUCCUUCCAAAGUGCACUUAUAAGUCGCGAUCACCACCUGCCUCAUCACUGCCUACAAGAAUCUGUCAAUUCCAAUGCCCCGGCAUGCAGAUUAGUGGAAGCCAAAUCACAAGUUUAGUCAGCAGCCAGUGUGACCUUUCAGGAAGGCUAACUUUCCAGACAGUAUCUCCAAGCACCAAAUCAAAUCUAUUGCUUCCAAGCUUAAAGGGGGAGAGAAAUAUAUUUGUUUGAACAGCUUGUUUUGUUAUAUAAAAAUUUACAACACCUAAACAGCAAAACUGUUCCUCUUUUUUUUCUUCUUUUUUUUUUUUUUUUUUUUCCAGAAUUCUACUUCAUCUUCAGUCUACAGAUGCAGUUAUUAAUGGGUUGUUUUCUCAAGAAGAGAAACAUCCAUUGAUUGAAUGACUGGCAAUUCAGUAAAUCACUAAAGUGCACGUGUACCUAGUGUGACUAACUGCAUGUUGCACAGGAAGUGUCCUGAAACCUCCUCUGAGAAACUGACAUUUAUUUCACGUUGCUAGUAAAAGCAAUUUAGGUGGGGCCAAAGGCAUGAAAAGUUCCACCUCCCAGCUGCACUUCAGAAGGGUUUCAGGGACAGCUCUGAGAAACACCCUCCCUCUGCCAGCACAGGCUCCUUUUUCCUUCCCACUGCAGAUAUCUGCAGGGAGCUCACUGAACCCGUACACAAGCUGCUUUACAUUUCCUGCCACCAAUAAGCAUCCUUUUGCAGAGAGCAGCAAACAAGGAUGUGCUCUUCUACGGCAAUGGCUCAUAAAAGGCACACGCACACACACACACACAAAGACUAUAGGAACUGUUGCACAGAGAUGAGAGAAGACACAGAGAUUUCUUUCCUCCAAAUAAUUUUACGGGCCACUUCUAACCUCAGUCAGCAUGUAGCAGUGUAUUUCAAGCUGAUGAAUCCACUGUGUGAUGUUCUGGCAACAUGGCAAUGCAUCUUCUCCAGAAUGGGGCCACAUGAAAGGACAUCACCUGCUCUCCAAACCCAGCCCUGUGCAGACACCACGCGGGGCUCACACCAGCUUUCUCUGAGCAUUAACUGUCAUGCUCUAAAGACAUGUCAGCGUCACCAUCAAAAAGACAUGCUUGCUGAUACAGACUCCUCUCCUGGGGAAACCAACCUGCGUUUCCAAGCUCCCUGCCAAACACCUCCAUGACUUACAGAAGUGCAUCCAACACAUUUCAUUUUCUUUUUCCCACAAAGGCCCUCUCGGGUCUGUCAGGAUCCAUACAAGUUAUAUAUUUAGAAAAGGCCCCAGCAGUAACUUUUAAGUGCAUACCUGUUAACAGAGCAUGGAAGAAGAUUUGUGCAUUUGCGUCUAAUGGGUAAUUCUCAGAUACCAUGCUUAUGGAUGAGUUUAAGCCAUACAAAGCAAUUAAAUUUAGUGCACUAGAAGAAGAUAGAUGCUAUUUCUGACUGAAUGACCUCAAAAGAAUGGGCAUAGAUGCUCUAAUCUGAGGCCCUAGCAAACCAUGGAGCAUCUGAAUAUGUUUGGUAAUGUUGUUUUCCUCUCAAAGCAGAAAGAUCUUACUCUCUUGGAUUUGUCAUAUUUGACUCCUGGCACCAGUACGUUGAUACCAUAUGAUACCUGCUAUGACUACAAUAAAAUAAUUAAAACUCUCAAAAGGUUUAAUGUGUUC